rnacentral:rRNA from 1 species
CUGACGAGUGGCGGACGGGUGAGUAAUGUCUGGGAAACUGCCUGAUGGAGGGGGAUAACUACUGGAAACGGUAGCUAAUACCGCAUAACGUCGCAAGACCAAAGAGGGGGACCUUCGGGCCUCUUGCCAUCAGAUGUGCCCAGAUGGGAUUAGCUAGUAGGUGGGGUAACGGCUCACCUAGGCGACGAUCCCUAGCUGGUCUGAGAGGAUGACCAGCCACACUGGAACUGAGACACGGUCCAGACUCCUACGGGAGGCAGCAGUGGGGAAUAUUGCACAAUGGGCGCAAGCCUGAUGCAGCCAUGCCGCGUGUAUGAAGAAGGCCUUCGGGUUGUAAAGUACUUUCAGCGGGGAGGAAGGCGAUGUGGUUAAUAACCACGUCGAUUGACGUUACCCGCAGAAGAAGCACCGGCUAACUCCGUGCCAGCAGCCGCGGUAAUACGGAGGGUGCAAGCGUUAAUCGGAAUUACUGGGCGUAAAGCGCACGCAGGCGGUCUGUCAAGUCGGAUGUGAAAUCCCCGGGCUCAACCUGGGAACUGCAUCCGAAACUGGCAGGCUUGAGUCUCGUAGA